rnacentral:tRNA from 1 species
GUGGGCAUGCCGGAGUGGUUAUCGGGCAUGACUAGAAAUCAUGUCGGCUUUGCUUGCGCAGGUUCGAAUCCUGUUGCUCAUG